rnacentral:rRNA from 1 species
GUCCACGCCGUAAAACGAUGAGUGCUAGAUGCUGUGGGUAUUGACCCCGCGGUGUCGCAGCCAACGCGUUAAGCACUCCGCCUGGGGAGUACGGCCGCAAAGGCUAAAAACUCAAAGGAAUUGACGGGGGCCCCGCACAAGCGGUGGAGCAUGUGGUUCAAUUCGACGCAACGCGCAGAACCUUACCUGGGUUAAAUCCACCAGAACCUUGCAGAGAUGUAGGGGUGCCCUUCGGGGAACUGGUGAGAAGGUGCUGCAUGGCUGUCGU